UGAGGAUGUAACCGGCGGAGUUGCGGUAGUCGGCGCUCGCGUUGCCGAUGACCCGGCCGGUGCCGUCGACGGUCGCGUCGGCCGUCUUCAU
rnacentral:tRNA from 1 species